rnacentral:rRNA from 1 species
GCUACCAUGCAGUCGACGGUAGCACAGAGAGCUUGCUCUCGGGUGACGAGUGGCGGACGGGUGAGUAAUGUCUGGGAAACUGCCUGAUGGAGGGGGAUAACUACUGGAAACGGUAGCUAAUACCGCAUAACGUCGCAAGACCAAAGAGGGGGACCUUCGGGCCUCUUGCCAUCAGAUGUGCCCAGAUGGGAUUAGCUAGUAGGUGGGGUAAUGGCUCACCUAGGCGACGAUCCCUAGCUGGUCUGAGAGGAUGACCAGCCACACUGGAACUGAGACACGGUCCAGACUCCUACGGGAGGCAGCAGUGGGGAAUAUUGCACAAUGGGCGCAAGCCUGAUGCAGCCAUGCCGCGUGUAUGAAGAAGGCCUUCGGGUUGUAAAGUACUUUCAGCGGGGAGGAAGGUGUUGUGGUUAAUAACCGCAGCAAUUGACGUUACCCGCAGAAGAAGCACCGGCUAACUCCGUGCCAG